UACAGAGGGUGCUAGCGUUAAUCGGAAUUACUGGGCGUAAAGGGUGUGUAGGUGGUUGGUUAAGUUAGAUGUGAAAUCCCUGGGCUUAACCUGGGAACUGCGUUUAAAACUGUUCAGCUAGAGUACUGUAGAGGAUAGUGGAAUUUCCAGUGUAGCGGUGAAAUGCGUAGAUAUUGGAAGGAACACCAGUGGCGAAGGCGACUAUCUGGACAGAUACUGACACUGAGACACGAAAGCGUGGGGAGCAAACAGG
rnacentral:rRNA from 1 species